UCUGAGCAUUUCCACGGAUGACAUCACUACAUCCUCAUGACCACCCACAAUGUGGGUGCUGUUAUCAUCACCCAGAUUUUAGAGAUGAGGAAACGAACACCCAGAGACAUCAUGUCACUUCCCCCAAAGUCAUUUAGAAGGACAACAACCUACACCAGCCAAUCAACAAAGGUGCUGGGAUAAUUACCUUCCUCCACACAGUUCCCCACAUCAAAGACACAUGUGUUAACAGACACGUGGAGAAAGGUCCCUCAGGUGGGACUUGUCUGGUGGAAAUGGACCUGGGAUAGAAAGUGAUGGAGCCAGGUGAUUCUCUCUUUCUGAGAAACGUGGGCCACCUUCAGUUUCCAGGUACUCAUCCACUCCUGUUGUUUUCAUAUCCACUCUUCUCCUUCCCAGGAAAGCUAAGAAGGGCUUUUCCUCUGUCUCCCCAAUUCAGGAGGGCAGCAUGGAACACUCACCUCAAGAUCAUUCGGUAGCUCAGAGAAUUCUGAAUCUAAACCUUUGGAAAUUACAGUGGGGCCUUGACUUACGAGUUUAAUUCGUUCCGAGACCGAGCUCGUUAAGGAGCUCGUUAACUCAAAUUACUCUAUCAACUCAAUGCAAAAAAUGGGCGGAGAGACAGCUGGUAUCUCAAAAAACUCAUUAGUCGGGACACUUGUAAGUCAAGGCCCCAAUGUAGUGGCCUCUGGGUGCUUUCAUUAUUUAUAAUCAAUUGUUGAGUUAACAGACUUUUUACUGAGUGUCUCAAUGGGCCGGUAAGGUGACAGGCACCGGGGCGCACAGUAAGGCUGGGACGUGGCUCCCUGGCCAAGGCAGCACGGUGACUCAGGGGUCUCCACCUUGGGGACCUGCUUCUUCCUCUGAAAUGGGUCUCUGUUUACAUGGAUUCAGGAGAACCAAACAUACCUCUGGAUCGAGCCUCAGGAGUCCUGGAUCCCCGCACCCCCUUUGUAACUUGCCUCCUCAUAACCACACCCUAUUUCAGUGCUCUUCUCCCGAAGCAGGAAUAGCGGCCCAGCUCUGCAUUCUCUGUCGUCUGUCUCGAGCAUCGUGUGUAGAUAAAAACGAAGCAGGAGGCAGGGGUGAUGGAGGUGCCACCGUGAAAGGGCUGCGUGGUGAAGGCAUCGACUGCAGUAGUUGGAAAGGACUUCGGCGAUGCUCUAGUCAGUUUGAAGCCUGGAAUGGUACCUGGGUCUGGCGGUUCCUGGCUCAAGUUCAAUCUAAGGAGACCAGGGGCACCCAUCGCUGCAGUUCCAGGACCAGGGGCGUCACUGGACUGGUGAAUUCGUCCUGGUGGGUGGAUGGGGUCCUCAUGGCUGAGCGGCACAUGUCCCAGCUGGACACUGUUUGCCAAGAGCCAGAAUGGAACGGACUCAGAGUUAAGCCCAUCCUCGAGACACCAAAUAAAAUAAAUGUUUUGAAAUCA